rnacentral:rRNA from 1 species
UACAGAGGGUGCGAGCGUUAAUCGGAAUUACUGGGCGUAAAGGGCGCGUAGGCGGCGUGUCAAGUCGAUUGUGAAAUCUCCGGGCUUAACUCGGAACGGCCAAUCGAUACUGACGUGCUAGAGUGCAGAAAGGGCAAUCGGAAUUCUUGGUGUAGCGGUGAAAUGCGUAGAUAUCAAGAGGAACACCUGAGGCGAAGGCGGGUUGCUAGGCUGACACUGACGCUGAGUGCGCGAAAGCCAGGGGAGCAAACGGG